rnacentral:misc_RNA from 1 species
GCAAGAUAUGCCACAAAGUGUGCCAGAGCACUAUAUCUUAUUUCUUUACAAUUUAACCUUCUUAAUUCAUUUAUUUAUUAGUCAUUAAGGGCAAAGUUUUACCAAUUAUAUCAUUUAUUUACAAUUUUGAUUAAUUUGAAUUUUUCACAAAUUAUAUAGAAAAUUUGGCAGAGUGCCAGCUAUAAAUUAGAAAAACAGUUCU